rnacentral:rRNA from 1 species
CCUACGGGCGGCUGCAGUGGGGAAUAUUGGACAAUGGGCGAAAGCCUGAUCCAGCAAUGCCGCGUGAGUGAUGAAGGCCUUAGGGUUGUAAAGCUCUUUUACCAGGGAUGAUAAUGACAGUACCUGGAGAAUAAGCUCCGGCUAACUCCGUGCCAGCAGCCGCGGUAAUACGGAGGGAGCUAGCGUUGUUCGGAAUUACUGGGCGUAAAGCGUGCGUAGGCGGCUAUUCAAGUCAGAGGUGAAAGCCUGGAGCUCAACUCCAGAACUGCCUUUGAAACUAGAUAGCUAGAAUCUUGGAGAGGUGAGUGGAAUUCCGAGUGUAGAGGUGAAAUUCGUAGAUAUUCGGAAGAACACCAGUGGCGAAGGCGACUCACUGGACAAGUAUUGACGCUGAGGUACGAAAGCGUGGGGAGCAAACAGGAUUAGAUACCCGAGUAGUC